rnacentral:tRNA from 1 species
GGGGAGUUAGGCUAGUCUGGUAGGCUUUCAGCUUUGGGAGUUGAAGACCCGAGUUCAAAUCUCGGACUCCCCA